rnacentral:rRNA from 1 species
UACGAAGGGUGCGAGCGUUAAUCGGAAUUACUGGGCGUAAAGAGCACGUAGGCGGUUUGAUAAGCGGAAUGUGAAAUCUCCGGGCUUAACCUGGGAACUGCAUUCCGAACUGUCAGGCUAGAGUAUGAUAGAGGUGAGCGGAAUUUCCUGUGUAGCGGUGAAAUGCGUAGAUAUAGGAAGGAACAUCAGUUGCGAAGGCGGCUCACUGGAUCAAUACUGACGCUGAGGUGCGAAAGCGUGGGUAGCGAACAGGAUUAGAAACCCCUCGUAGUCCGUC